AUGGUACUCCCUCCGUCCAAAAAUACUUGUCCAAGGAAUAGAUGUAUCUAGAUGUAUUUUAGUUCUAGAUACAUCCAUUUCUAUCAUUUUUACGACAAGUAAUUCUGGACGGAGGGAGUAGAUA
rfam:Hordeum vulgare subsp. vulgare, WGS project CAJW01000000 data, contig: morex_contig_48107